rnacentral:lncRNA from 1 species
UUCCGUUUUAAUUAAAGGGUUAAACUAGUAAUUUCAUAGAAUUUUAGUUGACAAUGAGUGUUUUAUUAAUUAGUAGAGAUAUUUUGUGUGAUACAUUGCACCUGUUAGACUUUUAUCUUUAGCAAAAAUUACAACUCUUACUUUAACCUAUUUAUAACAUGAGCGCAUUAUAAGGCAUUGGAUGCCUUUCUUUUGGUUCCCAUUAGCAAAAGAGAAAAAGAAAGGUUUUGGGCAAAUUACACGUUCAAGAUAUUGGUGCUACAUUUUUUUUGUUUUUGGGAGAGAUGAAAUUAUGUGUUUUCAUCUUCUUUAUUUAAUUCUUUGUUUCAAUGAGAACUAUUGGGUGUAAUAGGAUUUGGGUUUUCAAAGUUAAAACUCUAUUUGUGAUCUCCAUUGGUUAUUAAUAAACUUUCCUUUCUGUUUUCGCAAAAGAUGUGAGUUUUUGCCUAAUCAAUAUAAAUUUGUGUGUCACUUUGAAUUGUUUGUUUUGUCCAAAUUUUCAGAAUUAAUUUAUUAGUUUCGCAUUUUAUGCUUUCAAACACCACUUACUACUAGAAGAAUAAGCUAAACCAUUUAAUCAAAUUAAACGACAAGUUUACUGCACAAAACUGCUCAUUUUGGUUUCAUUUGACUGAUUUGAAUGUUUCAUCACAUAAGUAUGAAGAUAAAAUUCGAUUAAACGGAAGAACAAAUACUAAUUAAGUGAGAACAUCAUCAAUUAAACAUUGGCAUCCAAUAUCGAGCCAAAGAUAAGUUGGAAGGACCUAGCAAGCAGCGCCAUUAGCCAACAUUUAUAUCCAACACAAUCACACAAAUUAAACUCUCAACAGAAAAAGUUAUAUGUGGGAAAGAAAGAAUGAAUUACAUGAAACAAGAAUGUCAAAAUAACGAUGUAAUCAACUUAUUACGUGUUGUCACGCCACAAAGUUAAAUCUUCCUUAAAGAAGCAACAAUGAAAUCCCCAUGCAAGAGCUGUCCACUUUCCAAUACUUGUUCAAGAGGAAAAGCUGAAAGAAACACUUUAACAUAUGGACUUUUAAAGUGAAAGAACAAGUAUUUUCCACAAAAAAAAAGUGGAAGACUGACUCUGAUUUCCAAUACGCGUUACAAAGUGAAGAGAACGGUUUUCUACAAAGAAAAGUGGAAGACUGAUCACUGUGAGAAAUUUCCAGGAAGCUUCCCAGUUGGUAAGUGUUAUCUUUCUUCACUUUUUCAUUGCUCACUUAAGUUAUUGGUUGUGACUUCUCUGCAACUUCCCAGCUUUCCCAUUUUUCAAAAUGAAAAUAAUUACGUCACCCACCAGUGGCGAAAUCAAGAAUAAAUGAAUAAAUGAGGAGAGGAGUGAAUUUAAAAGCGUUAAUAAAAAAAAACAUGGACAACCAAAUCCUUUUACAUGUUAGACAAUAUCGUUGUUUAUAAUGUAUCAAUACAAAGAAAUAUUGUUACAAUUCUACAGGUGAGGUUUCAAGUUAUAAAAAUGUGGCAUAAUAGGUUCAUUAUUAAUAAAAGAAAAAGCAUCUCUUUCAAUGUAAAAAACCAAGAUAUCAUUCAACAAUAGAUUUCGAUUUUACUACGCAGUGAUGUUUUAAAAUAUUCAUAACAAUGUUUCUUAUAGUUUUGUUCUAUUAUGUAGCUGUAUAAUGGAAAAAAUUCUUAGACUCUUAAUUUUAUAGUACAGUCUUCUAUAUGACUAAUAACUCUAUAAAUUAAUAAAAUCCUCUUUGUCAACCAAAAGAUGAUGAAAAGACAACUUAUUCUUCUAUCACAAAAAAAAUGAUGGGCAAUAAUGUAAUUUCACAUGUCUAAAUUUUACUAUUUUUUAUUGAAAUCUCACUUACAUGUGAUGUUAAAAUAUCUCUAAUAUUUAAAAUUAAAAAAAAAUCUCCCACUUCCCCACGUUCUCUCUCUAUCUCUCUCUCUCUCUCCUCAUUUUCUAAAAAAAAUCUGUUCAUACACACAAAGUGUGUAGGCAAAUGCUAGUAAUUAAUUAAACUAACAAUUUAAUUAAUCAAUAUCAAUAAUCACAUAAAUUAUUUAAUAUCAUAUAAACUAUUCAAUAAUCAUUAAUUCAAUUCAUCAAUAAUAAACCAUUUCAUUCAUCAAUAAUC